CUUGACACUGAACACUGGUCCUUGAUGUGUAGGAUAGGUGGGAGGCUUUGAAGCGUGGACGCCAGUCUGCGUGGAGCCAUCCUUGAAAUACCACCCUUUAAUGGCUGGUGUUCUAACGUAGACCCGUGAUCCGGGUUGCGGACAGUGUCUGGUGGGUAGUUUGACUGGGGCGGUCUCCUCCCAAAGAGUAACGGAGGAGCACGAAGGUUGGCUAAUCCUGGUCGGACAUCAGGAGGUUAGUGCAAUGGCAUAAGC
rnacentral:rRNA from 1 species